GACGAACGCUGGCGGCGUGCCUAAUACAUGCAAGUAGAACGCACAGUUUAUACCGUAGCUUGCUACACCAUAGACUGUGAGUUGCGAACGGGUGAGUAACGCGUAGGUAACCUGCCUGGUAGCGGGGGAUAACUAUUGGAAACGAUAGCUAAUACCGCAUAAUAUUAAUUAUUGCAUGAUAAUUAAUUGAAAGGUGCAAUUGCACCACUACCAGAUGGACCUGCGUUGUAUUAGCUAGUAGGUGAGGUAACGGCUCACCUAGGCGACGAUACAUAGCCGACCUGAGAGGGGGAUCGGCCACACUGGGACUGAGACACGGCCCAGACGCCUACGGGAGGCAGCAGUAGGGAAUCUUCGGCAAUGGACGAAAGUCUGACCGAGCAACGCCGCGUGAGUGAAGAAGGUUUUCGGAUCGUAAAGCUCGGUUGUAAGAGAAGAACGGGUGUGAGAGUGGAAAGUUCACACUGUGACGGUAUCUUACCAGAAAGGGACGGCUAACUACGUG
rnacentral:rRNA from 1 species